rnacentral:sRNA from 1 species
GCUGGGCACAGUGGUGUAUGCCUGUAAUCCCAGUGGCUCAGGAGGCUGAGGCAGGAGGAUCAUAAGUUCAAAGCCAGUCUCAGCAACUAAGUGAGGUUCUGAACAAUUUAGCAAGACCCUGUCUCAA